UAGCUAGUUGGUGAGGUAACGGCCCACCAAGGCUGAGAUCGGUAGCUGGUUUGAGAGGACGACCAGCCACACUGGAACUGAGACACGGUCCAGACUCCUACGGGAGGCAGCAGCAAGGAAUAUUGUGCAAUGGGCGAAAGCCUGACACAGCGACGCCGCGUGGGGGAAGAAAGGCUUCGGGUUGUAACCCCUUUUCUUGGGGAAGAAUAAUGACGGUACCCAGGGAAUAAGUCACGGCUAACUACGUGCCAGCAGCCGCGGUAAUACGUAGGUGGCAAGCGUUAUCCGGAUUUACUGGGCGUAAAGAGGGUGUAGGUGGCCCUAUAAGUCGGAUGUAAAAUCUCUCGGCUUAACUGAGAGCGACCAUCCGAUACUGCAGGGCUAGAGUGCAGCAGAGGAAAGCGGAAUUCCCGGUGUAGUGGUGAAAUGCGUAGAUAUCGGGAGGAACACCAGUGGCGAAGGCGGCUUUCUGGGCUGUUACUGACACUGUGGCCCGUAAGCGUGGGGAGCAAACAGGAUCAGAUACCCUGGUAGUCCACGCUGUAAACGAUGGGUACUAGGUAUGGGGGGUAUCGACCCUCUCCGUGCCGAAGCUAACGCUUUAAGUACCCCGCCUGGGGACUACGGUCGCAAGACUAAAACUCAAAGGAAUUGACGGGGGCCCGCACAAGCAGCGGAGCGUGUGGUUUAAUUCGAUGCAACACGAAGAACCUUACCAGGACUUGACAUGACGGAAGUAGUGAAGCGAAAGCGGAACGACCUGUUGAGUCAGGAGCCGCCCAGGUGCUGCAUGGCUGUCGUCAGCUCGUGCCGUGAGGUGUCGGGUUAAGUCCCAUAACGAGCGUAACCCCUGUUGCUAGUUAAUUUCUCUAGCGAGACUGCCCCGCAAAACGGGGAGGAAGGCGGGGAUGACGUCAAGUCAGCAUGGCCUUUAUGUUCUGGGCCACACACACGCCACAAUGGUUGGUACAGCGGGAUGCAAUGGAGCGAUCCGGAGCUAAUCCUCAAAACCAAUCUCAGUUCGGAUUGCAGGCUGAAAUUCGCCUGCAUGAAGCCGGAGUUGCUAGUAACUGCAUAUCAGCAUGGCGCAGUGAAUACGUUCUCGGGCCUUGUACACACCGCCCGUCACGUCAUGAAAGCUGGCAACACCUGAAGUCGAUGAGCUAACCCGAGCUUAACCGCAUGGGAGGCAGUCGCCUAAGGUGGGGUCGGUAAUUGGGACGAAGUCGUAACAAGGUAGCCGUAGCGGAAGCUGCGGCUG
rnacentral:rRNA from 1 species